GAAAGAAAUAGUUAAGUUACUGCUAAUAACUUACUGUCAAUUUAAUUUGACUUCUUUCU
rnacentral:tRNA from 1 species